AGCGUACACGGUGGAUGCCCUGGCAGUCAGAGGCGAUGAAGGACGUGCUAAUCUGCGAUAAGCGUCGGUAAGGUGAUAUGAACCGUUAUAACCGGCGAUUUCCGAAUGGGGAAACCCAGUGUGUUUCGACACACUAUCAUUAACUGAAUCCAUAGGUUAAUGAGGCGAACCGGGGGAACUGAAACAUCUAAGUACCCCGAGGAAAAGAAAUCAACCGAGAUUCCCCCAGUAGCGGCGAGCGAACGGGGAGGAGCCCAGAGCCUGAAUCAGUGUGUGUGUUAGUGGAAGCGUCUGGAAAGGCGCGCGAUACAGGGUGACAGCCCCGUACACAAAAAUGCACAUGCUGUGAGCUCGAUGAGUAGGGCGGGACACGUGGUAUCCUGUCUGAAUAUGGGGGGACCAUCCUCCAAGGCUAAAUACUCCUGACUGACCGAUAGUGAACCAGUACCGUGAGGGAAAGGCGAAAAGAACCCCGGCGAGGGGAGUGAAAAAGAACCUGAAACCGUGUACGUACAAGCAGUGGGAGCCUCUUUAUGGGGUGACUGCGUACCUUUUGUAUAAUGGGUCAGCGACUUAUAUUCUGUAGCAAGGUUAACCGAAUAGGGGAGCCGAAGGGAAACCGAGUCUUAACUGGGCGUUAAGUUGCAGGGUAUAGACCCGAAACCCGGUGAUCUAGCCAUGGGCAGGUUGAAGGUUGGGUAACACUAACUGGAGGACCGAACCGACUAAUGUUGAAAAAUUAGCGGAUGACUUGUGGCUGGGGGUGAAAGGCCAAUCAAACCGGGAGAUAGCUGGUUCUCCCCGAAAGCUAUUUAGGUAGCGCCUCGUGAAUUCAUCUCCGGGGGUAGAGCACUGUUUCGGCAAGGGGGUCAUCCCGACUUACCAACCCGAUGCAAACUGCGAAUACCGGAGAAUGUUAUCACGGGAGACACACGGCGGGUGCUAACGUCCGUCGUGAAGAGGGAAACAACCCAGACCGCCAGCUAAGGUCCCAAAGUCAUGGUUAAGUGGGAAACGAUGUGGGAAGGCCCAGACAGCCAGGAUGUUGGCUUAGAAGCAGCCAUCAUUUAAAGAAAGCGUAAUAGCUCACUGGUCGAGUCGGCCUGCGCGGAAGAUGUAACGGGGCUAAACCAUGCACCGAAGCUGCGGCAGCGACACUAUGUGUUGUUGGGUAGGGGAGCGUUCUGUAAGCCUGUGAAGGUGUACUGUGAGGUAUGCUGGAGGUAUCAGAAGUGCGAAUGCUGACAUAAGUAACGAUAAAGCGGGUGAAAAGCCCGCUCGCCGGAAGACCAAGGGUUCCUGUCCAACGUUAAUCGGGGCAGGGUGAGUCGACCCCUAAGGCGAGGCCGAAAGGCGUAGUCGAUGGGAAACAGGUUAAUAUUCCUGUACUUGGUGUUACUGCGAAGGGGGGACGGAGAAGGCUAUGUUGGCCGGGCGACGGUUGUCCCGGUUUAAGCGUGUAGGCUGGUUUUCCAGGCAAAUCCGGAAAAUCAAGGCUGAGGCGUGAUGACGAGGCACUACGGUGCUGAAGCAACAAAUGCCCUGCUUCCAGGAAAAGCCUCUAAGCAUCAGGUAACAUCAAAUCGUACCCCAAACCGACACAGGUGGUCAGGUAGAGAAUACCAAGGCGCUUGAGAGAACUCGGGUGAAGGAACUAGGCAAAAUGGUGCCGUAACUUCGGGAGAAGGCACGCUGAUAUGUAGGUGAAGCGACUUGCUCGUGGAGCUGAAAUCAGUCGAAGAUACCAGCUGGCUGCAACUGUUUAUUAAAAACACAGCACUGUGCAAACACGAAAGUGGACGUAUACGGUGUGACGCCUGCCCGGUGCCGGAAGGUUAAUUGAUGGGGUUAGCGGUAACGCGAAGCUCUUGAUCGAAGCCCCGGUAAACGGCGGCCGUAACUAUAACGGUCCUAAGGUAGCGAAAUUCCUUGUCGGGUAAGUUCCGACCUGCACGAAUGGCGUAAUGAUGGCCAGGCUGUCUCCACCCGAGACUCAGUGAAAUUGAACUCGCUGUGAAGAUGCAGUGUACCCGCGGCAAGACGGAAAGACCCCGUGAACCUUUACUAUAGCUUGACACUGAACAUUGAGCCUUGAUGUGUAGGAUAGGUGGGAGGCUUUGAAGUGUGGACGCCAGUCUGCAUGGAGCCGGCCUUGAAAUACCACCCUUUAAUGUUUGAUGUUCUAACGUUGGCCCCUGAUCGGGGUUGCGGACAGUGUCUGGUGGGUAGUUUGACUGGGGCGGUCUCCUCCUAAAGAGUAACGGAGGAGCACGAAGGUUGGCUAAUCCUGGUCGGACAUCAGGAGGUUAGUGCAAUGGCAUAAGCCAGCUUGACUGCGAGCGUGACGGCGCGAGCAGGUGCGAAAGCAGGUCAUAGUGAUCCGGUGGUUCUGAAUGGAAGGGCCAUCGCUCAACGGAUAAAAGGUACUCCGGGGAUAACAGGCUGAUACCGCCCAAGAGUUCAUAUCGACGGCGGUGUUUGGCACCUCGAUGUCGGCUCAUCACAUCCUGGGGCUGAAGUAGGUCCCAAGGGUAUGGCUGUUCGCCAUUUAAAGUGGUACGCGAGCUGGGUUUAGAACGUCGUGAGACAGUUCGGUCCCUAUCUGCCGUGGGCGCUGGAGAACUGAGGGGGGCUGCUCCUAGUACGAGAGGACCGGAGUGGACGCAUCACUGGUGUUCGGGUUGUCAUGCCAAUGGCACUGCCCGGUAGCUAAAUGCGGAAGAGAUAAGUGCUGAAAGCAUCUAAGCACGAAACUUGCCCCGAGAUGAGUUCU
rnacentral:rRNA from 1 species